UCUUCUUGUUUUCCUUCUUCGGCCGAGCAUCCAAAAUUUCGAAAAAAAAUUCAUCGUCGAGUUGUUCGACAAAUCAAUACCCCUAUUCCCUUCCACCCACUCUCCGGAGCUUGGUGACGAAGCUUCCUUCCAAGAGAAGGAAAUUGCCGACCUGUGAGCGCGUCUCAAGACGAGACAACGUGUUCAGCUGCGACGUUGGACUGGGUUGUGCUGGGCAUGCAGUAGGGUGACUUACUCUUUUUCUCCUUGUUUAGGUUAGUGCAGUGUGCAUAUAAAUUUUAUGGAUCCACUAAACUCAACUUUUGUGUAUUUGUAUUUUCUGGUUGUAUU